GAUAGUGGGGGACAACGUUUCGAAAGGAACGCUAAUACCGCAUACGUCCUACGGGAGAAAGCAGGGGACCUUCGGGCCUUGCGCUAUCAGAUGAGCCUAGGUCGGAUUAGCUAGUUGGUGGGGUAAUGGCUCACCAAGGCGACGAUCCGUAACUGGUCUGAGAGGAUGAUCAGUCACACUGGAACUGAGACACGGUCCAGACUCCUACGGGAGGCAGCAGUGGGGAAUAUUGGACAAUGGGCGAAAGCCUGAUCCAGCCAUGCCGCGUGUGUGAAGAAGGUCUUCGGAUUGUAAAGCACUUUAAGUUGGGAGGAAGGGCAGUAAGUUAAUACCUUGCUGUUUUGACGUUACCGACAGAAUAAGCACCGGCUAACUCUGUGCCAGCAGCCGCGGUAAUACAGAGGGUGCAAGCGUUAAUCGGAAUUACUGGGCGUAAAGCGCGCGUAGGUGGUUCGUUAAGUUGGAUGUGAAAGCCCCGGGCUCAACCUGGGAACUGCAUCCAAAACUGGCGAGCUAGAGUACGGUAGAGGGUGGUGGAAUUUCCUGUGUAGCGGUGAAAUGCGUAGAUAUAGGAAGGAACACCAGUGGCGAAGGCGACCACCUGGACUGAUACUGACACUGAGGUGCGAAAGCGUGGGGAGCAAACAGGAUUAGA
rnacentral:rRNA from 1 species